rnacentral:rRNA from 1 species
AUGCUUUCACAACUUGACUUCAAAAUAUUUGGUUUGGAGACCAUCAAAGAUCAAUAUGUGCAUGAUGCUGAUUUUAAAGAUGUAAUGCAGAAUUGUAAAGAAGGAAGAAUGUGGAACAAGUUCGUCGUUAACGGUGGAUUUGUGUUUCGUGCUAACAAGCUAUGCAUUCCAGCUAGCUCCGUUCGUCUUUUGUUGUUGCAGGAGGCGCAUGGAGGAGGAUUAAUGGGACACUUUGGCGUGAAGAAGACGGAGGACGUACUUGCUACACAUUUCUUUUGGCCAAAGAUGAGACGGGAUGUUGAGCGUUUUAUUGCUCGCUGCACUACAUGUCAAAAAGCUAAGUCACGACUCAAUCCUCAUGGUUUAUAUAUGCCGUUACCUGUACCUAGUGUUCCUUGGGAGGAUAUAUCUAUGGACUUUGUUUUAGGUUUACCUCGAACAAAGAAGGGGAGGGAUAGCAUAUUUGUUGUCGUGGAUAGAUUCUCGAAAAUGGCACACUUUAUACCAUGUCAUAAAAGCGAUGAUGCUGUUAAUGUUGCUGAUUUGUUCUUUCGUGAAAUUAUUCGCUUGCAUGGUGUGCCAAAUACUAUUGUUUCAGAUCGUGAUACUAAAUUUCUUAGCCACUUUUGGAGAUGUUUAUGGGCUAAGUUGGGGACUAAACUGCUUUUUAGUACUACUUGUCACCCCCAAACUGAUGGACAAACUGAAGUAGUCAAUAGAACGUUGUCUACUAUGCUUAGGGCUGUUUUGAAGAAUAAUAAGAAAAUAUGGGAGGAAUCCUUGCCUCAUAUUGAAUUUGCUUAUAAUCUUCAUUGCAUUCUACUACUAAGAUGUGCCCUUUUGAAGUUGUGUAUGGUUUCCUACCUCGUGCACCUAUUGAUUUGUUGCCUCUUCCAUCUUCGGAGAAGGUUAAUUUUGAUGCUAAACAACGUGCUGAAUUGA